rnacentral:rRNA from 1 species
AUUGAACGCUGGCGGCAGGCCUAACACAUGCAAGUCGAACGAGUGGCGGACGGGUGAGUAAUGGCUGGGAAACUGCCCGAUGGAGGGGGAUAACUACUGGAAAAGGUAGCUAAUACCGCAUAACAUCGGAAGGGCCCAGAUGGGAUUAGCUAGAAGGGGGGGUAACGGCUCACCUAGGCGACGAACCCUAGCUGGUCUGAGAGGAUAACCAGCCACACCGUGACUGAGACACGGUCCAUACUCCUACGGAAGGCAGCAGUGGGAAAUAUUGCACAGUGGGCGCAAGCCUGAUGCAGCCAUGCCGCGUGUAUGAAGAAGGCCUUCGGGUUGUAAAGUUCUUUCAGCGAGGAGGCGUUACUCGCAGAAGAAGCACCGGCUAACUCCGUGCCAGCCGCCGCGGUAAUAC